AAAGAUUAAGCCAUGCAUGUCUAAGUAUAAGCACUUAUACCGUGAAACUGCGAAUGGCUCAUUAAAUCAGUUAUCGUUUAUUUGAUAGUACCUUACUACAUGGAUACCUGUGGUAAUUCUAGAGCUAAUACAUGCUAAAAACCCCGACUUCGGGAGGGGUGUGUUUAUUAGAUAAAAAACCAAUGCCCUUCGGGGCUACUUGGUGAUUCAUAAUAACCUAACAGAUCGCAUGGCCUUGUGCCGGCGACGGCUCAUUCAAAUUUCUGCCCUAUCAACUUUCGAUGGUAAGGUAUUGGCUUACCACGGUUUCAACGGGUAACGGGGAAU
rnacentral:rRNA from 1 species